AAAAAACACUUUUACUUUUAUCUUAAUAUUGGGCUUGGUUCUUAGGGUAUGAGUAGAGGGCUCACCCUUAAACUUAAGUAUUUCCUCGUUGCUACCCUCAGUUCUAUUUGUGGGUUUCUGUAAGUUUCAGCUAUGUCAAGAUGGCAUGAAUGCCUGUGUGUUUGGCACUCUAAUAGUUACCUCCCACUUCUGAUUCUGUCUCUUCUAGGGACUCCUGGUGGCUUUCAGGGUUCAGAGUACUGUGAAUUACCUUGUCCUGGCCCUCAGGGCCUCAUCUCAAACCCAGACAGAGGGAAGAAAGGAAGGAAGGAGCAAAGGAAAGAAGGAAACAAGCAUUUAUUAAGCAACAUCUAUGUGGCAGGACUAUGCUACGUGCUUCAAAGUUAUCUCAUUUGAUC
rnacentral:lncRNA from 1 species